CACACAUUCAUGGUAUCAAAGCUCACUUAAUCCCAUCGACUAACACCAAUCGAACCACAUCGACCCAUCGCCAAUCAAUUCCCUCACCCUUAUUGCCGAUCAAUCCCCUCAUCUCUGACCCACUGCCAAUCAAUUCCCUCGACCUCACCGCUUAUCAAAGUCCCCUACCAAUCUAAUCUCACCCUCUCAACCUGUUCAUCCCUUCAAUCGAUUUGACCUUGGUUUUCUUUUCCUCAUCGUGGUGACUAUUUUUCUAGCAUUGGAGAUUCUUCUCAUUUCUUUUCUUCGUUGGUAACUUCAUUGUUGUAGGUUAACGAUUUUUCUCGUCGUCUGUUUAAAUUGGGGCUUCUACGAGUCUGCUCCAUUUAGAUUCGCUUCCGGUAUGUUUAAUUUGGAUUUGUAAAGCUAUUUUCAUUUUAAAUCUUAUUUACAAUAUGUCUAGUUAUUUGACUGGAUUUUUGCUCCUACUUCUGCAAUAGUGAUUGAACAACUGGCUAGAGGCUUCAAUUAUGGUUAAUUGGAUAAAGUUGUUCAAAUGUGGUGUAUGGGUCAGGGUUUGUUGAAUCAUCUUUUCACUCCACCAGGUCCUCGAGGCGGGCAAAGUUGUUUGGUAUAAGCCUAAUGUCUUGCUAUGCAAUUUGCUUUGGCGGUCUAUUGAUCCAAGUAUCCGUUCGAUCUUUACCAAUUUUACUAACUGCUAUGAACUCCAGAUGCAUGGCAAAACUUUAUAGACAAAUGGUAUUCAACGCUUAUAUAGUGUGGUGUCUAAUUUAGUCAAUAUUCGUCUACAUGGAUUGCCUAUUCUAGAGUAUCUAGGCAAGCUUUUGUCCAUAAAGAGCUUAAACUUUUUUUUUUUGCAUGCGGGGAAAACAACUGUUGAAGAGCUUGCUCAGCGCGACACAUUCUUUAUGGUAUUUGCUCUUUUAGAUGUUGGUUCGAAUCUGAGCUGGGUUCGUGACCACCUUCUUUCUACCUCGACAGUUCCGACCCUUAAUGAUGUUUAUUCUUAUCUAUUAUGAGUGUCAUUUGUUGCUCAUAAUAUUAUUACUUCAGGAGACCUAUCCGCUCUAUUGGCUACAGAUUCUUCAUUUGUGCGUGGUGAUUCUAGUUCUCAUAAGAGUUUUCGAAGUCAUAAUACAUCUCGUCCACGAUGCACUCAUUGCAACAAUUAGGAUCAUACCCAUGAAAAAUGUUUUAAGCUACAUGCUUGGCCACCUUGAAUUAUUAUUAAGCAAGCUGAAACUCAUUCUAUGUCAGUCAUCUCUUUUACCAGUUACCUCCGAUUUCCCACACUGGUACAUCUCUUGGGCUAUGGAUCAUUGAGUUUUGACUCUGAUACCUUUUUUUCAUUCAAGACCGCUUGAGUUCCAUCGAUUGUAUCACCUCGACAUUCCACCACCUUCAAUCCAAAUUGCUUGUUCCACUGCCAAUUCUUCUAUGCUACUACAAUAUAUGGGUUAUCUCUUCAAGUUGUGUUUAUAGUUGUCGUGCUCGACCCCUAGUGUCUUCUUCUGAUGGAACCGAUGAUUAUGUUCCUACAACUACUUUAGAUGUCCCCGGCUCUCAAUGCUUGACAUUUUCUUCUCCUCUUGCGGCUCCUACCCUGUCGGAUCCUACACAAUUACCUUGUGGUAUUCAUUCUUCUCUUAAUACACAUCCUAUUUACAAUUUUUUAGUUUUCAUCAUCUGUCUCCCAUUAACUAUACACUUGUGUCACACUUAUCCUAUGUCUUUCUUCAUGAAUCCCUUCAUAAGGCACUAUCUUAUCCAGAAUAGCGAUACACAGUGGUGGAUGAAAUGAUUUAUUUACAUGUUAAUGGUACCUUUGCCUUUGGGCAAGUCCUCUAUGGCCUUCUGUUGGAUCUAUGCUAUUAAGAUUGGUCCAAAAAGUGAAGUUGCUCGCCUCAAAGCUCGUUUAGUGGCUAUAUGCUUCACACAGGUCUUUGGAGAAAAUUUAUAUAGAGCAACCUCUUGGAUUUAUUGCUCAAGGGAGUCUAGCCUCGUUUGCAAACUACGUUGUUCUCUAUACAGAUUGAAGCAAUAUUUGUGUGUUUAGUUUGGUCGAUUUAGUAAUGUUAUACAAGACUUUGGCAUGAUCUAAAGUGCAUCAAACCAUUCUAUUUUUUAUAAACACACAUCAAAGCAGAAACUUUCUAUAUUUUAUUGUUUAUGUUGAGGAUAUUGUUCUCACCGAAAAUGAUCAAGAAUAGGUCACCCAGUUAAAAUAACAACUAUUUCAACUUUUCAAACUAAAGAUACAUGGCAUUGACAUAUUUUUUUUGGUAUUGAAAUUGUUCAAUUACGUGAUGGAAUUUUUCUUUCACAAUUGAAGUACACAUUGAUAAUUUUGAAGAAAUUGAUUUGUCUAACUAUAAGUCAAUAGACUCUCUGAUGGAUCCAAAUUUGAAACUUCAAGUCAAGGGGCUUGGCUAUAAGUUGUAGAAUAGUUGGUAAACUUAACUCUCUUACACUUAUUUGACCUUUCCCUCAGUUGCGGUGAGUGUUGUGAGUCAAUGUCUUCAAUCCCAACUCAUCGGGAUGCUACAAUUCGAAUUUUGAACUACAUCAAAUGGUCUCCUGGUAGCAUAUUAUUUUAUCCUAAUCAAAAGUCACAUUAAAGUAAUUGACUAGUUAGACGUUGAUUGGGCAUGAUCCUCAUUUGAUAAACGUUUUGCUUUGGGGUGAUGCAUAUAUGUGGGAGGUAAUUUUGUCUCAUGAACGAGUAAGAAACAUAAUAUUAUUGCUCGAUCAAGUCAAGGGCCGGAAUACUAAGCUAUGGCAUUAGUGACAUGUGAGCUUAUUAUGAAAAAAUAUUUUUUUUCAUAAACUUCAAAUACUAAAAAUUUUAGAGAUUAAACUCUUUUGUGACAAUCAAACUGAUUUGCAUAUUGUAUCUAAUCUUGUAUUUCAUUAAAGGACUAAACAUGUAGAGAUUGUCAUUAUAUUAGAAAGAAUGUGUAUACGGAUGCAUCACUACCCAUCAUGUUGCUUUGAAUGACCAACUUUAUAUUCUUAUUAAAUCUCUUAGAGGUCUCCAAGUAAAUUUCUAUGUGAUAAACUUAAAUCUUACUAUUUAUAUUCUCCAAUUUGAAAGGAAAUAUUAGAUAUGUUAGAUAUAUUGUACAUAGGUCCUUUUUGUACUUAGAAUAGUAUAGAUACAAAUUUUAUAUUCUUAGAAUAUGUUGGAUAUAUAUAUAGGUUUUUAUUCUGUAAUUCCAAAUUAAAUGAAGUAAUACAAAAUUCAUAUAAUUAUUAUUGAUAUAUUUCUUUAUACUUAACAUAACAAAAUAUCUCAAAUAAAAAACUAAACACACACACUCAUAUAGUUUGCGUUCUUAAGAAUGUUUUGUCCAAACCAGAAAAUCUAAAUAGUUUAUCCUAACCUCAAAAUGUUAAUAUAUGUCCGAAUCUUCACUUUAUUUACAAUACGAUCCUCAAAAUCGGUUUAUUAUACAUCGCCAUUGCCGUCGAUCUUGUGUAGUAAUCAGUUCCUAAGUUCACCACCAAGCUAAGGUGGAACGACAGCAACAAAUCUGGCAAUUUUGAAUUUCGUAGUCAUUUACUCAUGCAGUUCCUGUGAUGAGUUUCUCUCUUUGAUCUAUUUUCUUGACCUUCACUAAGCCGAUCAGAAGUUUCAACCCGAA